CGCAAUAAACUGAAAAUAAGGGUAAACAAUGAUUAAUUCUUUGACAUUUUUGUCAUAUUUUCACUUUUUACUCUCUCUCCUUCUUCACAUUCUUUCUACGAUGGCGAGGGCCUUUUCUUCUGCAUAUGUCCUUUUGUUCAGUGUUUUCUUUUGGUUUGUUUUUGGGUGUUAUCAGUGGUUUUUUUGUUUCUUGCUGCAGAGAAACAGGGAAAUGGAUAGUUUUUUUGUAAGCACCUUGCUAUAUUUGCAGAUUCAGCUAUUUGGGCAGAGGGACAAUUAGACACGUAUCUUGGCUUGGAAAACCUUGGAUGCUAUGUGAAAAUUGUUCUAGGUGGGGGGAAAAAGUGAGGCUGCUUCGACCGUAAAAGAUUAGUGCUCUUAAAGGAGUGGAUAUAAACUUCUUGGCAGAAAUCGCCAUAAGAUGUUGUGACCAUCGUUUUUUCCUUUAACACUUUUCUGGUUUGGUGCUACCUUUGUAUUUGAACAUGCGGCAUCUUAUAUGUCUCUAUCGCUUCUAGUGCUGAGACACUUUGAUGCAAGAUAUUAUUGGGGAAGGAGUUCAAUAAGUCCCUUUUUUUGAAAUAUAUCCUUUGCAUAUUUUUAUGAUAACGCAUUCUGUUUUUCCACUCUUAUGACUAUGUUUAGAAGAUGUAGAGAGGUGAUAAUGAUGGAAGAUAAAAAUGUCAUCUGUUUUUUUCAAAAAUAAUCCUCCCUUUUCUGCUUUAUGUGCUAUAAUUGUAUAAACGUUAGUUAUUGAAGGAGGACAAAAUAGGAAAGUCUUAAUUUGAAAGAGUUCUGUGUCUAUUGUCUAUCUUUUUAUGUUAUAGUUGCAAGUAGCGAAACCUUAUCAGCAAAAAAAAUGCAAGGAGACUAUGAUUGAGAUGGGUCUCAAUAAAUCUAAAGUACCUCUAGCAAAGUUUGUUGUACCGAAUAGUGUGAACCUAAGAGAUUUAGGAGCUAAAUUUUAGUUGCUCACCAUCCAGUUUUUGUAUUUGAUGGACUUUAAGGUUAUGAAUAUUAUUAUUGGAAAAAAAGCUAGCCAUAUGGUGAAACAUUGAACAGGUACGAGAAAUGUCAUUCAGAUAUAACAGUUAGGUUGAUUUUGCUAUUAUCUAAUCAAGUUAAUACAUUGUCAUUCCUGCUCAUUCAAAAUUUCAUAUCUAUUGGUACAUUUGAACUUGAAGUUUUGAAUUUCUUUUCAGUUUCACUUCAUUACAAAGCUCCUACAAAUAUUCGAUGUUGUACUCUCAAAUAAAGUUGGUCGUUCUAUCCUAUCAAACACCCGUGAUGAAGUGAAUUGCUACUUUGCAUGAGGACUCAUUGGAGAAUGGAUCAUCUAGGAAAUGCUUUGUGAUCUCAAUG